GAUGAGAGAGCUUGCUCUUCGAUUCAGCGGCGGACGGGUGAGUAAUGCCUAGGAAUCUGCCUGGUAGUGGGGGACAACGUUUCGAAAGGAACGCUAAUACCGCAUACGUCCUACGGGAGAAAGCAGGGGACCUUCGGGCCUUGCGCUAUCAGAUGAGCCUAGGUCGGAUUAGCUAGUUGGUGAGGUAAUGGCUCACCAAGGCGACGAUCCGUAACUGGUCUGAGAGGAUGAUCAGUCACACUGGAACUGAGACACGGUCCAGACUCCUACGGGAGGCAGCAGUGGGGAAUAUUGGACAAUGGGCGAAAGCCUGAUCCAGCCAUGCCGCGUGUGUGAAGAAGGUCUUCGGAUUGUAAAGCACUUUAAGUUGGGAGGAAGGGCAUUAACCUAAUACGUUAGUGUUUUGACGUUACCGACAGAAUAAGCACCGGCUAACUCUGUGCCAGCAGCCGCGGUAAUACAGAGGGUGCAAGCGUUAAUCGGAAUUACUGGGCGUAAAGCGCGCGUAGGUGGUUUGUUAAGUUGGAUGUGAAAGCCCCGGGCUCAACCUGGGAACUGCAUCCAAAACUGGCAAGCUAGAGUACGGUAGAGGGUGGUGGAAUUUCCUGU
rnacentral:rRNA from 1 species